GUGCAUACUUAAAAAAGAGAAUUGUGAAUAAAAUUCAGGGCUCCCAACUGUUCCGCUUAUGGCAGACCAGUCCCUAUUUUGGGGUCCUUUUUCACAGUCCCAAUUUCGGCCUGCGCUGCUCUGGCCCCGGCGUCUGUUCUGUCCCUCCACUUCCGCAGUGUGCAGGCGUCCGGCCAACAUUGCGCACACGCACGCUAUUACAAGCUAGGGGGCCUGUGC